CCUACGGGAGGCGGCAGUGGGGAAUUUUGGACAAUGGGCGAAAGCCUGAUCCAGCAAUGCCGCGUGAGUGAAGAAGGCCUUCGGGUUGUAAAGCUCUUUUGUCAGGGAAGAAACGGUGUUUUCUAAUACAGAAUGCUAAUGACGGUACCUGAAGAGUAAGCACCGGCUAACUACGUGCCAGCAGCCGCGGUAAUACGUAGGGUGCAAGCGUUAAUCGGAAUUACUGGGCGUAAAGCGUGCGCAGGCGGUUUUGUAAGUCUGACGUGAAAUCCCCGGGCUCAACCUGGGAAUUGCGUUGGAGACUGCAAGGCUAGAGUUUGGCAGAGGGGGGUAGAAUUCCACGUGUAGCAGUGAAAUGCGUAGAUAUGUGGAGGAACACCGAUGGCGAAGGCAGCCCCCUGGGUCAAGACUGACGCUCAUGCACGAAAGCGUGGGGAGCAAACAGGAUUAGAUACCCUGGUAGUCCACGCCCUAAACGAUGUCUACUAGUUGUCGGGUCUUAAUUGACUUGGUAACGCAGCUAACGCGUGAAGUAGACCGCCUGGGGAGUACGGUCGCAAGAUUAAAAACUCAAAGGAAUUGACGG
rnacentral:rRNA from 1 species